UACCACCAUGAGUACUAAUGUGCAGGUGAUAAACCAGGCCACACAUUAAUUAUUAAAGCAGAACAGUAACCUUGCAAAAUGCUUUGAAUAUUGAUUUUGUUCUCUUUUGAUUGAGAAGAGGCCACGUAGUAAACCUUUGAAUCUUUUGACUUGCACGCCACAUGAAUCUGGAGAGUACCUUGUUCCUCUUUUUUUUUAUAGCUUUAAAUAGAACAAAGUUGCAGCAUAGCACCCUCUGAGAAUCAUGGCUUCAGAUUGUCAUCUUCUCCUUCCUUUUCUUCCAGACUAGGUUCUUUUUGCCAUGCUUUAGAAUCCACUGUCUGAUAGAGCCUUUUGUGAACACUGUAGGUAAAAGUGCAGGCAGGGAGUUUGACAGCAAGUGCAGGCAGGAACUUUGAUAGCAGAGGCCAUUUCAUUGCUGGGAUUUGGUGGACAAGGUUACUAGGAGUACUUCCAAGAGAACAUCAAGGGUGAGCUUUCCUCUCCAGACACCACCUUUGAUGAUUUGUGUGGUUGUCUUGCUUGAUCAUUUCUUUGUGUGGCUUGUUUGCAAGGCCAUCUGAUUUGUUAUAUUGGAAAAGAAGGUAGGAGGUAGGAGGCUUUCGGUGGUGACUAUUGUUGACUUCCAGAGCAGAUGACAUGACAUUCCACCGAUUGGUCAUACACUCGUGGAUACACAUGUAUCAUAUACGAGAUUGCGACCGUUCGGGGAUCUCCAUAGCUCCAUGGCGGUGACACCAGUAAAGAGACACUGCAAAAGAAAAACAAGAAGUAGCACUGGUAGGUCAGAGAGGCAUCAACCUUUUAGCGUCUGCUUCCCGGCUCCUCCCUUGAACAAAGUUGCUGGAUUCUUCUUCUCUCCUUUGCAGCAGGGCUUCACCUUCCUCUUGAUGUGUUUUCUCCGUUGUUGCUUCUCUCCAGCCUUUUCUGCUCCUCCCUUCGUUGCCUCUCUGCUGCCCCUCUUCACUUGUUGUAAAGAGCCUUUAUAUAGGCAACGUAGAAGAAUAAAGAUCAUGCGGGUUAACCAUAACUCUUUUUUUGAAUUUGAAAUGAUCUUCAGAUGACGAUAACCAUUCCCAUAUUCAAACUUGUAACUGUGGGAACUAUCCACAACUUCCAGUAUGGAAUUUGAAUUUUGAAAGCUUUGAGUAUCAAUCCACGUGAUCAUGCUUCGGAGAUAAUUAAGCUAAACCAAUUAGAAAGUUACUGGACUCUCUCACUUUUGCGUCGAACCAAUUUUCUCAUUUUGGGUUUGUGAAUUUUUUUGUCUCAACAAUCACUUCCUCGGUUCGCCUUCAUCAUUCCAAGUGCUUCUGCUUGCUUUCUCGAUUUUCUUGGUGACAUUGAUGAGGGCCCUUCUAUAUCUAACCCUGCAUCUUAUCUUCCACCAUGGGCUCUGAUUGUGACGGCUAUUCUAUAAAGGGGCUCACAUUUUGCUAUCUGAUUAUGGAUGGUUGUGGCUGAUUCGGAAUUGGAGCAUGCUUUGAUGUAAUUGUUGAUGGCUUUAUUUUUUGAGUAAGAUCUAUUAGUUUACGAUAUAAUGCUGCAAUUUUUUGUCUCUUACAAAGAGCAUCUGUAAAGCUUCAUUGAAUGGUUUUUUGAGAGAAAGGAAUAGAAUGUUUAAUCUC